AGGUCACACCAGCACUUCCCCAUGCUCAGCCCCGUCCUGCGCUGACCUCAGGGUCAGGGGUCAGAUGAGGAGGGUUAGAGGGCGGGGGGUCAGAUUGAAUGGCUUCCCCGAGAUCACGACCACCCUGGUGUCCUGACCUAGGCCAGGGUCAGAGGUGAAGGGGUGGGGGUCAGCGUUAGAGGGCAGGGCUUUCCUGACUUGCCUCGGACGAGGGGUGAGGUCAGGGGUCAGUCUGAAUGUGAAAGGUCAGGGAUCAGCAGGUGUUGCAGUGAGUUUGGGAGGGUGAGGUCUGUGUGAGGGAGGGGCAGUUGUAACCGGUUCCACUGAGGAAUGAAGGCCAUUCACCCAUCA